AGUGAACGCUGGCGGUAGGCCUAACACAUGCAAGUCGAACGGCAGCACAGUAAGAGCUUGCUCUUACGGGUGGCGAGUGGCGGACGGGUGAGGAAUACAUCGGAAUCUACUUUUUCGUGGGGGAUAACGUAGGGAAACUUACGCUAAUACCGCAUACGACCUACGGGUGAAAGCAGGGGAUCUUCGGACCUUGCGCGAUUGAAUGAGCCGAUGUCGGAUUAGCUAGUUGGCGGGGUAAAGGCCCACCAAGGCGACGAUCCGUAGCUGGUCUGAGAGGAUGAUCAGCCACACUGGAACUGAGACACGGUCCAGACUCCUACGGGAGGCAGUAGUGGGGAAUAUUGGACAAUGGGCGCAAGCCUGAUCCAGCCAUACCGCGUGGGUGAAGAAGGCCUUCGGGUUGUAAAGCCCUUUUGUUGGGAAAGAAAAGCAGCAGGUUAAUACCCCGCUGUUCUGACGGUACCCAGAGAAUAAGCACCGGCUAACUUCGUG
rnacentral:rRNA from 1 species